rnacentral:misc_RNA from 1 species
UUUUUUUUGGGGCAAAGAAAAUCGUUCAGCUUCUUAUAUUCCAAGCGGUGCAUUUCGUGGCAAACCCAACACUGGGUUACGAAACUUCAAUGCACAGACGCAUCGAAGUCAAGAAGUUGCAAGAAAAAUAAUUUCACAACACGAUUUAUGCAGAUAUAUAUUUCACAUUUUUUGUUUUUCCCUUUCUUUCCAAUCCAAUCAUCUUUUUAACAACUUUCAGAGGAGAAAGGACACAAACUUUAACCCAACAAAUCAGAUGCAUCAGAAUUAUACGUUUAACAAACCUAUCACCAGUAAUGCCCACCACCACACUCUAAAAGCAAGAAAGCCUGGAUGUGAAAACCGAACAGCAACUGUUGGCAUGUAGUGCGUCAGAUCAUCCUUGUUAAACCUAAAGACGGCUCCCUGCCUCAUGAAAGAUAGGAUCAGAUCUCAUCAAUGGAGAGGACAGACUAAAUGCUGCAUUAACGAGGGACCCUCUUCCGACUAAGGAUCUCUUGUUCUUUUAGUCGAUGCUGGAACCUAGCCAGGCGAGCUUGAAGACUAACCAGACCUGCUGCCUUGCGUGAGAGCACAAAGCUUAACUGGGUCACGUAGCUAUCAAUGAGACUGCCUGGUUGGUCAACUUCUGAGAGCAGUUUCAUUUCCUCACGAACAAUCUC